rnacentral:rRNA from 1 species
UACAGAGGGUGCGAGCGUUGUUCGGAAUUAUUGGGCGUAAAGAGCUCGUAGGCGGUCUGUCGCGUCGAUCGUGAAAACUUGGGGCUUAACCCUGAGCUUGCGGUCGAUACGGGCAUGACUGGAGUUCGGCAGGGGAGACUGGAAUUCCUGGUGUAGCGGUGAAAUGCGCAGAUAUCAGGAGGAACACCGGUGGCGAAGGCGGGUCUCUGGGCCGAUACUGACGCUGAUGCGCGAAAGCCAGGGGAGCGAACGGG